rnacentral:rRNA from 1 species
AUGGACCCCUUUCACGGCAUUGUGAAAGAGGAGGAAUUUGACUUCGCCGGAGGUGCUGCUGAUGGAUACUCGCCGUCUUCGUGGGGCUCAUCCCCGUCUUCCUGGGGCUCUUCCCCAUCUUCGUGGGCCGGCGACGGCGCCUUGGCGGAGCUGCCGCGGCCGAUGGACGGCCUCGGCGAGGCCUGCCCUACCCCGUUCCUGAACAAGACGUACGAGGUGGUGGACGACCACAGCACGGACACCAUCGUGUCAUGGGGCGUCGCCGGGAACACCUUCGUGGUGUGGGACGCCCACGCCUUCUCCAUGGUGCUCCUCCCCCGCUACUUCAAGCACAGCAACUUCUCCAGCUUCGUCCGCCAGCUCAACACCUAUGGGUUCAGGAAGGUUGAUCCGGACAGGUGGGAGUUCGCGGCGGAGGGGUUCCUGCGGGGGCAGAAGGAGCUGCUGAAGACGAUCAGGCGGCGCCGGCCUCAGUCGUCGCCGGCGGGCACGCCGGCGCUGCUGCAGCAGGGGCAACAGCAGGGUGCGUGCCUGGAGGUGGGGCAUUUCGGGCCCGAGGGCAAGGUGCAGCGGCUGCAGCGCGACAAGGGCACCCUGAUCGCGGAGGUGGUGAAGCUGCGGCAGGAGCAGCAGGCGACGCGCGCGCAGAUGCAGGAGAUGGAGGCGCGCCUGGCCGCCACGGAGCAGAAGCAGCAGCAGAUGACGGUGUUCCUGGCGCGCGCCAUGAAGAGCCCCAGCUUCCUGCAGAUGCUGGUGGAGCGGCAGGACCAGAGCCGGCGGAAGGAGCUCGCGGAGGCGCUCCUCUCCAAGAAGCGCGGCCGCCCCAUCGAGUACCUCCUCCCCCGCAACGGCGAGAGCAGCUACGGCGCCCCGGCGCGAGGCUACGGCCCCGGGCUCGCCGACGGCGGCGAGGGCAGGCGCGCGGACGGCGAGGACACGGAGAGCUUCUGGAAGGAGCUGCUGAGCCUGGGCCUGGAGGAGAGGCAUCGGGAGGCAGGCGGGGGCGGGGGAGGGGAGGCGAGCGGCGCCGAGGUGGACGACGACGUGGACGAUGAGGUGGACGAGCUGGUGCAGAGCCUCUACCACCUCAGCCCCAACCGGCCCCGCAGCUACCAGUGA